GCAGGUAAACAAACCGAUCGAUUCCUGAUCACCGUUCUUGUCGAUCGGAAAAUCAAAAUACCAGCGUGAUAUUGCCGCGAAGAUGAAGCAGUUAUGUUACUUGAUUCGUACUUCAUGUUCGAGUCGAAGCUUGGGUGGCACAGGUUAUUUCUUGCGGUGGAAUCGGCGAGGGGAAUUCGAACACUAGUUGUAGUGUUUGAAUUUUUGAAAGAAAUGGUCGCAUGAGGAUUAUUUACCUGCUUGAUUCAUAUCGGUUACGCUUCAUGUUGACAAGUCCCUCAAAAUUGGAGAUUGCCGAAAAUUAGGAGUACUUUUUGUUUACCUUAAGGUACUAUAUUCGCCCUGCAGAUAAAACAUAACACGAAGAAUCGAAAAUUUACUGGCAAGGAUGUCUCUUCUUUCUCCUUAAACGACUAUGGAAAGUUAAGGUUAUUUUUAAUCGGUAUUGACAAAUGUCGAGCUACAAGAAUUCUUUUGCCCCCGCAAAUGCUGCUUAUCCAGUACAUAACACGUUUAAUGUGAUUCGAUGAAAGUAUUUAUCGUUAAACACGCGUAUAAGGUUCAUUUAAAAUGCUCCUGCAACGAGGUUUCGCGAAGUCAGUCACUGCAAGAUUUUAGCCACCAUUCUGUUCCCGAAUGUACGGUUCACCUGGACAGCGGAUGCUACUGUUACUAUGGAAAUGGGGAGGCUAUGCAAGAUGGUGGACAAGGAGGCUAUCCUCCUUCCUGAAGCGAAUUGCUUCAAAUCUUGUAAUCAAUGGUCGAAAAUUAAUUUUUUUCCAAAAAAAACCGGUAUGUUAUGAAUAAUAUGUAGCUUUCCAGAUUUUCAGAUUAAUUCAUCACACCGGACGUGAGGAACUGAGAGCAUUUGUGCCUGUUUAUAGUCUUCUGAAACGACAAGGCAUGGAUGAA